GGAAUAUUGGACAAUGGGCGCAAGCCUGAUCCAGCCAUGCCGCGUGAGUGAUGAAGGCCCUAGGGUUGUAAAGCUCUUUCACCGGUGAAGAUAAUGACGGUAACCGGAGAAGAAGCCCCGGCUAACUUCGUGCCAGCAGCCGCGGUAAUACGAAGGGGGCUAGCGUUGUUCGGAAUUACUGGGCGUAAAGCGCACGUAGGCGGAUCGUUAAGUGAGGGGUGAAAUCCCAGGGCUCAACCCUGGAACUGCCUUUCAUACUGGCGAUCUUGAGUUCGAGAGAGGUGAGUGGAAUUCCGAGUGUAGAGGUGAAAUUCGUAGAUAUUCGGAAGAACACCAGUGGCGAAGGCGACUCGCUGGACAGGUAUUGACGCUGAGGUGCGAAAGCGUGGGGAGCAAAC
rnacentral:rRNA from 1 species